AUUGAACGCUGGCGGUAUGCCUUACACAUGCAAGUCGAACGGCAGCACGGGUGCUUGCACCUGGUGGCGAGUGGCGAACGGGUGAGUAAUACAUCGGAACAUGUCCUGUAGUGGGGGAUAGCCCGGCGAAAGCCGGAUUAAUACCGCAUACGAUCCACGGAUGAAAGCGGGGGACCUUCGGGCCUCGCGCUAUAGGGUUGGCCGAUGGCUGAUUAGCUAGUUGGUGGGGUAAAGGCCUACCAAGGCGACGAUCAGUAGCUGGUCUGAGAGGACGACCAGCCACACUGGGACUGAGACACGGCCCAGACUCCUACGGGAGGCAGCAGUGGGGAAUUUUGGACAAUGGGCGAAAGCCUGAUCCAGCAAUGCCGCGUGUGUGAAGAAGGCCUUCGGGUUGUAAAGCACUUUUGUCCGGAAAGAAAUCCUUGACUCUAAUACAGUCGGGGGAUGACGGUACCGGAAGAAUAAGCACCGGCUAACUACGUG
rnacentral:rRNA from 1 species